rnacentral:rRNA from 1 species
CAGUAGCCACGGGAAUACAGAGGGUGCGAGCGUUAAUCGGAUUUACUGGGCGUAAAGCGUGCGUAGGCGGCUUCUUAAGUCGGAUGUGAAAUCCCUGAGCUUAACUUAGGAAUUGCAUUCGAUACUGGGAAGCUAGAGUAUGGGUGAGGAUGGUAGAAUUCCAGGUGUAGCGGUGAAAUGCGUAGAGAUCUGGAGGAAUACCGAUGGCGAAGGCAGCCAUCUGGCCUAAUACUGACGCUGAGGUACGAAAGCAUGGGGAGCAAACAGGAUUAGAUACCCCUGUAGUCCCUGUCUCUUAUAA